ACUGCUACUGAAAUUACUGGGUUUGAGCUGUUCCGAAACGCCAGUGAAUACUGGCAAUACUGAAAAACGGAAUGCGUUUACAGUCAAACCAGCAACUGUUGAUGCCAUCAUAAAAACCUAACCUAUUAAUGUACGGCGGACGGCGGCCAUAUGCUUUACUGAAUUUGCACUACCUCCGGACAAUGUGUAAAAUUAGCCGGAAGUCAGUAAUUCCCUAGAGUCUAUUUUUGUAGAAUAGAUAGUAAUUUACAGUUGCUGACAGCACGCUGAAAACAAUUUCGGAACGAAAAAACAGUACUGUCAGUACUGGCAGUAGAUUUCGGAACGCACCCUGGAUAUGGCAUAGGACGAAAUAAGUGUGACCAAUUGAAGGUUGUAGUCUCUGUACACAAUAUGGCGGUGUAUACGAAUACGAACACAGUUUACUGUGACAAUGAUACGAAAUUCCACGUGUAAUUAAUUAUCUAUAGACGUAGAUGUGUAUCAGUUUUAUCCAAAAUAUUACUUUUUUUAUAAUAAAAAUAGUAAAAUAGUAAAAUAGUGAGAUUCCAAAAUUAAAAAAUGUGUUUAUUGUGGAAAAGGAAGUGAAAAUAAACAACAAACGUUUCAUAGCUGCAAGUAUGGAUUACUACAACACAAUUAAGGACACGAGGACAAAAUAAGCUAUAACAAUACCCUUUAAACUUAUUUAUAAGUUUAGUAGUAGUAGUAUUAUUUAUUAGUAAAAUUAUUUAACAAGAUGGUCAUAAAUAAAAAUUUACGAUUUUUAGAC